GACGAACGCUGGCGGCGUGCUUAACACAUGCAAGUCGAACGGAAAGGCCCUGCUUUUGUGGGGUGCUCGAGUGGCGAACGGGUGAGUAACACGUGAGUAACCUGCCCUUGACUUUGGGAUAACUUCAGGAAACUGGGGCUAAUACCGGAUAGGAGCUCCUGCUGCAUGGUGGGGGUUGGAAAGUUUCGGCGGUUGGGGAUGGACUCGCGGCUUUUCAGCUUGUUGGUGGGGUAGUGGCUUACCAAGGCUUUGACGGGUAGCCGGCCUGAGAGGGUGACCGGCCACAUUGGGACUGGGAUACGGCCCAGACUCCUACGGGAGGAAGGAGUGGGGAAUAUUGCACAAUGGGCGGAAGCCUGAUGAAGCAACGCCGAGUGCGGGAUGACGGCCUUCGGGUGGUAAACCGCUUUCGCCUGUGACGAAGCGUGAGUGACGGUAAUGGGUAAAGAAGCACCGGCUAACUACGU
rnacentral:rRNA from 1 species